GAAGUCAGCCAGACCGCCGCUGGUGCAAGGCCCGAAAGGGCGCACUGGAGGAAGGUCCGGACUGCACAGGACGGCGCAGGAGGUAACACCUCUCCACCGCGAGGUGAGGAUCAGAGCAACAGAGACGAGUUCGGCCGGGUCCGGUCGGGGUGCUCAGCGAAGCGUCGGCGCAAGCCGACGGCCCAUGCGAAAGCAGGGGCUCGCGCGAAAGCGCGAACUGAGCUGCACCUCGGGCGGGCAAAGCCCGGCCGAGGUGAAACGGGCAAUCUCUGCGCGCAGCAACACCAAAUAGGCACACGUUGACCUGGUUCCGGGGAGUGUGCGGGUAGGUGGCACCGAGCCGCUCUGGCGACAGGCGGCCCAGAGGAAUGGCGGUCACGGCUUCGCGUCGCAAGGCGCGGGGCUGCACAGAAUCCGGCCUAUCGGCUGACUUCACAC
rnacentral:RNase_P_RNA from 1 species